CCCCGGCUAGCCACGCAGUGGAGAGACGCUGCAGAGAAGCUGGGAGGGAAGCACUAACGCGCGUCUCGCCCAGGAGAGCGGUCGGUGGGCUCGAAUUGGACAUUCCCAGCGCCUCGCUGGUCCCAUGGAAAUGGAGAAAUAGCUUCGGGAAGGAAGUCUGAGAUCAGGGGGACAGCCGGUUUGGUUUCUUCUGAGGCCUCUCUCCUUGGCUUGCAGACAGCUGCCUUCCUCCUGUGUCUUCCCUCUGCACAGUACACGGUCUCUCACUGUUGUGGCCUCUCCCAUUGCAGAGCACAGGCUCCAGACGCGCAGGCUUCAGUGGCCAUGGCUCACGAGCCUAGCCGCUCCGUGGCACGUGGGAUCUUCCCGGACUGGGGCACGAACCCGUGUCCCCUGCAUCGGCAGGCGGACUCUCAACCACUGUGCCACCAGGAAAGCCCAUGUGAGCUGUUUUAUAGGUACUGAAACCCCCACCAGGUAGAAGUUAACUACAUGAUGACCAGACUGUAGCCAUGACAGAAGCUGCCACAAUUCUGAGAAUUGGCCUCAUGGAAAUGGGAACAAACUGACCCUGGAACUGAAGAUUAACUGUACUUAGAACAAUCAAGACGAUGCUGGUCAGACCACCAAGGACCAAUUUCAAGAUGACCAUCAGAGCUGACUGUGCUGUCUCUGCAUGUAGCCCCCUCCCUCCGUCUAUAAAAGCUCUUGCCCACUGCUUGUCAGUGGAGGGGAGUCGGCCUUUGGACAGGAGUCUGCCCUUCCCCUUCCCCGGACCCCGCCAUU